rnacentral:rRNA from 1 species
CGGCACGCCUAAACAUGCAAGUCGAACGAAGUAGCAAUACUUAGUGGCAGACGGGUGAGUAACAUGUAGGUAUCUACCCUUUGGCCUGGAAUAACACGAGGAAACUUGUGCUAAUACCGGAUAAGUCUUUACGGAGAAAGCUUUAUGCACCAUUGGAUGAGCCUGCAUUUGAUUAGUUUGUUGGUAGGGUAAUGGCCUACCAAGACUUUGAUCAAUAGCUGAUUUGAGAGGAUGAUCAGCCACAUUGGGACUGAGACACGGCCCAAACUCCUACGGGAGGCAGCAGUGGGGAAUCUUGCACAAUGGAGGAAACUCUGAUGCAGCGAUGCCGCGUGAGUGAAGAAGGCCUUUGGGUUGUAAAGCUCUUUCGUCGGGGAAGAAAAUGACUGUACCCGAAUAAGAAGGUCCGGC